rfam:Myotis davidii contig98175, whole genome shotgun sequence.
GUACUCGCUUCAGCAGCACAUACACUAAAAAUGGGAACCACAGAGAAGAGUAGCAUGGCCCUGAGCAAGGAUGACAUGCAAAUUCGUGAAGCGUUCCAUAUUUUU